GACGAACGCUGGCGGCGUGUUUAAGACAUGCAAGUCGCACGGUGUCAUUUUGGUAGCAAUACUUGGAUGGCAUAGUGGCGCACGGGUGAGUAACACGUGAAUUACAUGCCCUGUAGAGGGGGAUAGCCCAGGGAAACUUGGAUUAAUACCCCAUGGUCUCACAAGAGUAAAAGGUGGCCGCAAGGCUGUCGCUGCAGGAUUGGUUCGCGCCCUAUCAGCUUGUUGGCGGGGUAACGGCCCACCAAGGCUACGACGGGUACCUGGUCUGAGAGGACGAUCAGGCACACUGGAACUGAGACACGGUCCAGACACCUACGGGUGGCAGCAGUCGAGAAUAAUUCACAAUGGGGGCAACCCUGAUGGUGCAACGCCGCGUGGAGGAUGACGGUCUUCGGAUUGUAAACUCCUGUCAUCCGGGAGUAAGACCUGGGCAUUAACAGUGCACAGGGUUGAUAGUACCGGAAGAGGAAGGGACGGCUAACUUCGUGCCAGCAGCCGCCGUAA
rnacentral:rRNA from 1 species